CACACACACACACACACACGUGUAUGUACACAUCUGACAAUAAAAUUAAACAUGCAGCCUUGACUUAACUUUGGUCAGAUGAAAUGUACAAACCCUCCUUAAAAAUGACUUGCAAAAAUGGUGUUAAAUUAAAAUAUUUAUUUUCAUUGGAGUGACCUUUUAAGCAAGAUACACUUACUGUGUUCUAAAGCAUUCUUGUAGUUUGCUAAUAUAUGUGUGGAUAUAUAGUGCUCAGGGCUGGCAUUAGUAUAAGGACUAAUGACCCAUGCCCAUUAAAUAGGACAUUGAUCCUAAAAAUUAACUUACUGAUAGCAAGCUAAGCACAAAUCCUCUUGCUGCUUCUAACCGUCAAACAUCCUCCAGUCACCAUGUGGCAUAUGUACUUUCUACUACAUCCAUCUUCUCUGCCUCAGUCUGUAUACCAGGAAGGAAGUGGAAAAGUAAAUCCUGAUAAGAGAAGGUUCACGGUUUGUGAUUAGUGAGAGAGAGCUGUUGGGUCUUGUUUAAUGGACAGACAGACUGAACUGAUUUGUAGGAGAGAAAGAUUGACAUAGGGUAUUUAUAGACUUAAAAUGUAUCCUGCAAGUGUUCCUCUAGUACCAG